ACACCCUUUUAGCUCAGUGGUCGAGCGUUGGCUUUAAAAGCCACAGGUCGGUGGUAUGAUUCCACCCGGGUGCA
rnacentral:tRNA from 1 species